AUAUACUCAAAACUUCGUUUUGGUAGUGGGCACGUAUCUGGCGUAAGCUAGAUUUGCCUGAAAUAUAGUGGUAGAGAUCGCUGCAAGUGAUGCAAGUUAGCCAAUGCUAUUAAGUUAAUUCGUUGGUGAAGCAUGUGGAGCUUUAGUGAUGAUUUUCCUUAACUAUUGGAAUUUUUUCUAA
rnacentral:misc_RNA from 1 species